rnacentral:rRNA from 1 species
UACGGGGGGAGCAAGCGUUGUUCGGAUUUACUGGGCGUAAAGGGCGCGUAGGCGGGCUGCCAAGUCUGGGGUGAAAUCCCACGGCUCAACCGUGGAACUGCCUCGGAUACUGGCGGCCUCGAGGGAGGUAGGGGCGUGCGGAACUGUGGGUGGAGCGGUGAAAUGCGUUGAUAUCCACAGGAACUCCGGUGGCGAAGGCGGCACGCUGGACCUCUUCUGACGCUGAGGCGCGAAAGCCAGGGGAGCAAACGGG